rnacentral:lncRNA from 1 species
ACCACGUGCAGGGGACAGAGAAGGGAGGCGACCAAUAAGAACAGAGGUUGGAGCACAGCAGUUAACGGGAUUGGAUAACGGACAGACCCAAGGGGCGUAACCCAGAGACUCUAAUGGGAGGUUAUGGGAGGUGAAAGGGAAAGGUGGGAGGAGACGAACAGACGCUCUAAGGGAGUGAAGGGGUGGAGCUUAAGGGAAAGAGGCAGGACAUAGACCUCCACAAGAGAAGGGGAUAUAAGGAGGGCAGAACAUUGGAUACCGCAGAAAAGAAGGCCAAUCACUUAACGCAAUGGGCGGGUCAUUGACAGCCUCUCCCGCUCAGGAGGAGAGGCUUAAAGUAGAUAUGCAAGCCAUUGGAUACCACAAGAGAAGCGCCUCAAGGAUCCAUGGUAAGAACUAAAAUGAACCAGGGUGCUUGAGGAAAAAAAGCUGAAUAAUGGAGACGACUUCUUCUCUCCUGGGGGAUCACAGAGGGUUACUGGAUGAAGUGAGUUUAACCAGACACUGGGAGAAUGAAUAGAAGUUGGACAUGAUAGUGAGGCGAGCCCUGGGAGGGCAUGAGGAGCAGAGGGAAGAGCAAAAACAAGCGUCUGAUCCUCACUUAAGGUCAGGAGUACGAGACCAGCCUGGCCAACAUGGUGAAAUCCCAUCUCUAGAAAAAAUACAAAAAUUAGCCGGGCGUGGUGGUGGGCGCCUAUACUCCUAGCUACUUGGGAGGCUGAGGCAGGAUAAUCACUUGAACCUGGGAGGCGGAGGGUGCAGUGAGCCGAGAUCACGCCGUUACACUACAACCUGGGUGACAGAGCGAGACUCCGUUGCAAAAAACAAACGAGACCGGGCGCGGUGGCUCACGCCUGUA